rnacentral:rRNA from 1 species
AAUAUUUGCUAAGUGGUAAAGGAUGUAAAGGUACCUUGACAACCAGGAGGUUUGCUUAGAAGCAGCAAUCCUUUAAAAAGUGCGUAAUAGCUUACUGGUCAAGUGCAUUUGCGCCGAAAAUGAACGGGACUAAGCACUUUGCCGAAGCUGUGGGAUUAAUUAUCGGUAGAAGAGCGUUCUGUUUUAGGUAGAAGCAAUAGUGAAAACAAUUGUGGAUUAAGCAGAAGUGAGAAUGUCGGCUUAAGUAACGAAAACAUUGGUGGAAAUCCAAUGCUCCGAAAACCUAAGGAUUCCUCCGCAAGGUUCGUCCACGGAGGGUUAGUCAGGAUCUAAAAUGAGGUCUAACGACGUAAUUGAUGGAAAACAGGUUAAUACUCCUGUACUCUAUUUGUUUAAUUACGCUAAAGAGACGGAGUAAAAAAGCUAGGUUAACCAAGUUUUGGGAAUUAUUUGGUUUAUUUGAUUAUUGAAUGAAUAAUGGUGCUACGGUGCUACAAUUAACCAGGGCAUACUUCCAAGAAAAUCUUUUGUAUUAAUAUAUAAUAGCAAAUAGACCUGUACCUUAAACUGACACAGGUAGGUUAGUAGAGAAUACUAAGGAGCGCGAGAUAACUCUUUCUAAGGAACUCGGCAAAAUAACUCUGUAACUUCGGGAGAAAGAGUGCCUUGUUAUCAAUUUAAUAAGGUCGCAGUAACCAGGCCCAGGCGACUGUUUACCAAAAACACAGGUCUCCGCUAAGUCGAAAGACAAUGUAUGGGGGCUGACGCCUGCCCAGUGCCGGAAGGUUAAAGAAAUUGGUUAGCUUUUGCGAAGCUAGUGACUGAAGCCCUGGUGAACGGCAGCCGUAACUAUAACGGUUCUAAGGUAGCGAAAUUCCUUGUCAGGUAAGUUCUGACCCGCACGAAAGGCGUAACGAUCUGGGUACUGUCUCGGAAAGAGACUCGGUGAAAUAGAAUUGACUGUGAAGAUGCGGUCUACUUGCACUUGGACAGAAAGACCCUAUGAAGCUUUACUGUAAUUUGAAAUUGGUUUUGGGUUUCUCCUGCGCAGUAUAGGUGGAAGGCAGAGAUUCUCUCUUUCGGGAGACGAGGAGCCAUAAGUGAGAUACCACUCUGGAGGAAUUAGAAAUCUAAUUGUAUUUCUUUCAACAAGAUACUUGACAGUUUCAGAUGGGCAGUUUUACUGGGGCGGUAGCCUCCUAAAAAGUAACGGAGGCGUACAAAGGUUUUCUCAGGCUGGACGGAAAUUAGUUUCAGAGUGUAAAGGCAUAAGAAAGCUUAACUGUUAGACUUACAAGUCGAUCAGGGACGAAAGUCGGUCUUAGUGAUCCGACGGUUCUGGGUGGAAAGGCCGUCGCUCAACGGAUAAAAGUUACUCUAGGGAUAACAGGCUGAUCUCCCCCAAGAGUUCACAUCGACGGGGAGGUUUGGCACCUCGAUGUCGGCUCAUCGCAACCUGGGGCGGUAGUACGUCCCAAGGGUUGGGCUGUUCGCCCAUUAAAGCGGUACGUGAGCUGGGUUCAGAACGUCGAGAGACAGUUCGGUCCAUAUCCGGUGUAAGCGUUAGAGUAUUGAAAGGAUCUUUCCUUAGUACGAGAGGACCGGGAAAGACACACCACUGAUGUGCCAGUUCUUAUUCCCAUAGGAUAUGCUGGGUAGUCAAGUGUGGA